AUGAAUCUUCUAUGCUGGAACUGUCGCGGCUUGGGGACGCACGCGAUAGUGGGCGAGCUAAGAUGACUUGUAAACAGACAUCGACCCUCCCUCCUCUUCUUAUCUAAGACGAAGAUGAGGGACUCCAGAGCUCGGAAUUUCAUGUGGUCACUGGGAUUUAAUGGUUGUCAUGCGAUAAGCAGUGAUGAACUAAGUGGGGGGCUAGUUCUUUUUUGGACCUCUGCCCUGUCAGUCACCUUGAAAGCUUUCUCCAAGCAGAUUAUUGACAUCAUUGUUACAUUAGAAGAGGGCAUUGAAUGGAGAACAACUCUUGUGUAUGGGAAACCAAGAAAGGAAUUAAGACAUAACUUUUGGGACCGGCUUCGAUUCUUAAGAACAACUUGGUCAGGACCGUGGAUAUGUGCUGGUGAUUUCAAUGAAGCAUUGAGUGCAGAGGAGCAUAUGGGGACAAAGGACCGAAAUGAUAACCAGAUGACGAUGUUUCGGAUGCCUUGA
rnacentral:rRNA from 1 species